AUUGAACGCUGGCGGCAGGCCUAACACAUGCAAUUCGAGCGCGAAAGUACUUCGGUAUGAGUAGAGCGGCGGACGGGUGAGUAACGCGUAGGAAUCUACCCAGUAGUGGGGGACAACUCGGGGAAAACUCGAGCUAAUACCGCAUACGCCCUGAGGGGGAAAGCGGGGGAUCUUCGGACCUCGUGCUAUUGGAUGAGCCUGCGUUGGAUUAGCUAGUUGGUGGGGUAAAGGCCUACCAAGGCGACGAUCCAUAGCUGGUCUGAGAGGAUGAUCAGCCACACCGGGACUGAGACACGGCCCGGACUCCUAACGGGAGGCAGCAGU
rnacentral:rRNA from 1 species